CUACCGGCUAUUGGAUGUUGGUGGUUCAAGAUGGCCAAAAUCCAGACCCUAAUAAUCCAAAAGUGAUUCAAAUUAAAAAACCAAAUCAAUCCGGCUACCAGUAUUUAUUGAACCAGUUACAGACCGAAGACAUUUCACCCAAGUACAUAGAAACAUAUAUCUACGCUUUUGAAUAGUACAGAUUAAUGUUAUUUUAUAGAUUUCGACAAUUGAGAAAAAUAUUCAUACUGCUUAGAAUAAGAGAAAUCCUUAUUCUAAGUAGUAAGAAUGGGAAUAAAAUAACUAACAUAAUCAUAACUGUCGACAUAAUACUUCUUCUUCUUCUGGCUUUAUCUACUCUACAAGAGUUUUUGCCGCUAUCACAACUUCAUGCCACUUUUCUGGAUCAUGAAUUAUAUUUCUCCAAUCAUUUAC